UACGGAGGGUGCAAGCGUUAUCCGGAUUUACUGGGCUUAAAGGGUGCGUAGGCGGGCCUUUAAGUCAGUGGUGAAAUCUCCCCGCUCAACGGGGAAACUGCCAUUGAUACUAUUGGUCUUGAAUUUAGUUGAGGUGGGCGGAAUGUGUCGUGUAGCGGUGAAAUGCUUAGAUAUGACACAGAACACCGAUUGCGAAGGCAGCUCGCUAAACUAAUAUUGACGCUGAGGCACGAAGGCGUGGGGAUCAAACAGG
rnacentral:rRNA from 1 species